GAUGAAGAACGUAGCGAAAUGCGAUAAGUAGUGUGAAUUGCAGAAUUCAGUGAAUCAUCGAAUCUUUGAACGCACAUUGCGCCCGCCAGCAUUCUGGCGGGCAUGCCUGUUCGAGCGUCAUUUCAACCCUCGACCUCCCCUUGGGGAGGUCGGCGUUGGGGACCGGCAGCACACCGCCGGCCCUGAAAUGGAGUGGCGGCCCGUCCGCGGCGACCUCUGCGUAGUAAUACAGCUCGCACCGGAACCCCGACGCGGCCACGCCGUAAAACACCCAACUUCUGAACGUUGACCUCGAAUCAGGUAGGACUACCCGCUGAACUUAAGCAUAUCAAUAAGCGGAGGA
rnacentral:misc_RNA from 1 species